rnacentral:tRNA from 1 species
GGGGUCAUAGCUCAGUGGCACAGCAUCUGUUUUGCACACAGGCAGUCUCAGGUUCAAACCCUGACAACUCCA